AGAGAGAUAGCUGGGUCAAAUGAUGGUUCCAAUUCCAGAUUUCCAAGGAAUAUCCAUACUGCUUUCCAUAUUGGCUGCAUCAAUUUGCAGUCCCACCAACAGU
rnacentral:pre_miRNA from 1 species